ACAACGCUGUCACUGUCGAAGAAAAAGAAGAUGAAGAAGCGAUUCACGACGAAUGUUCAGAGACUCAGAUACCUUAUCAUGUGCUCAAUGUGGCAAACCUGCCCAUCUUCAUUGCCAAGAUCACAUUGCCCUGAAUUCAAAUUUGAUGAAUAAAGAGCUAAAAGUGAGCUACAUAGCCCUGAAUUACAACAGCCCAACAGUCAGACCAAACACAAUGCCUUGAAUUAAAGCUCACUUUUAGCUCUUUAUUCAUCAAAUUUGAAUUUGAUGGAUGAAAGAAUUGGUGAAGGUCUGGUGACUGAUUAAUUAGAGGGCAGAUGGAAGAAAUGCAAACAUUCAGCAGAGACCAUGGGAACACAACAUCACUUGGAGGAUAGUGGGAUAUGAGGCUUUGACUACACUAUAUUCUCAUACUUCCGACAGCUUGAAGUUUCCAGCGUGUUAGAGUGCUUAUCAUGUUGGAGGCUUGCAGCAAUCAAAUUUAUGCACAUAAACACAGUUAAUCAUGUAGUUCAAAAACAAAAAUGUACGCUAAUUUGUAGUGUAGUAAGAAAUGACUAGUAAUCAAACAGAAGUACUUUUUCUUGGCCAAAUUACUAUGUUGGGUGGAGAACUAUGAACAGAUGAGACCAAAGUAACAUAAACCUACAACGCUUGAGCUCUUGAAGGCCUUGUUCCAGAUUGUUCAACACUACCUUGCACUCUUCUUGGCCUGCAAUUAAUGGUGGUAUGGAUUUGAUCAUUGAUCAACUUCUAUGACUUUGUGGUCUUAAAAUUAUCACUUGCAAAUGUAAAUCAGCUAUAUUUUACGAACAUUGAGAGACAUGUUCCACUUUAUCAGCAUUUAAAGUUUCACCAUUAGUGUUUAGUCCUCGCAUCUUGAGUCAGUAAUGUGCUUCUCCGAGACAAAAAGACUCUGAAGAUUAUUGUGUUACUAGUUGUAAGGUUGUGAUUUAAUCAGAUUCAUAAAUCCUAACAAAAAUAUGAAUGUUAUUUUCCAUCGCACUGACCUCAUUGCCAGGUGAAUAGCAGAUGCUGCAGCUAGAAGUCGAAACUAUCCCACUCUGAAGCUUAAACUGUGAGUAUCUUGAUCAGUGAAGUGCCAAACAGGUAAUUUGA